rnacentral:rRNA from 1 species
CACGUAGGAUCCAAGCGUUAUCCGGAUUUACUGGGCGUAAAGCGCGUGUAGGUGGUUUGUUAAGUUGGGUGUUAAAUCUCUCGGCUCAACUGAGAGGUGUCGCUCAAAACUAGCAGACUGGAGGAUGGUAGAGGAUGGCGGAAUUCCGGGUGUAGUGGUGAAAUGCGUAGAUAUCCGGAGGAACACCAGUGGCGAAGGCGGCCAUCUGGCCCAUUCCUGACACUCAAACGCGAAAGCUAGGGGAGCAAAC